rnacentral:rRNA from 1 species
CUUCGGGGGGAAGUCGACGGAAUGAGCGGCGGACGGGUGAGUAACACGUAAAGAACCUGCCCUCAGGUCUGGGAUAACCACGAGAAAUCGGGGCUAAUACCGGAUGGGUCAUCGGACCGCAUGGUCCGAGGAUGAAAGGCGCUCCGGCGUCGCCUGGGGAUGGCUUUGCGGUGCAUUAGCUAGUUGGUGGGGUAAUGGCCCACCAAGGCGACGAUGCAUAGCCGACCUGAGAGGGUGAUCGGCCACACUGGGACUGAGACACGGCCCAGACUCCUACGGGAGGCAGCAGUAGGGAAUCUUCCACAAUGGACGAAAGUCUGAUGGAGCAACGCCGCGUGAACGAUGAAGGCCUUCGGGUCGUAAAGUUCUGUUGUAAGGGAAGAACAAGUGCCGCAGGCAAUGGCGGCACCUUGACGGUACCUUGCGAGAAAGCCACGGCUAACUACGUGCCAGCAGCCGCGGUAAUACGUAGGUGGCAAGCGUUGUCCGGAAUUAUUGGGCGUAAAGCGCGCGCAGGCGGCCUCUUAAGUCUGAUGUGAAAGCCCCCGGCUCAACC